rnacentral:rRNA from 1 species
AACGAACGCUGGCGGCAGGCUUAACACAUGCAAGUCGAACGCCCCGCAAGGGGAGUGGCAGACGGGUGAGUAACGCGUGGGAACAUACCCUUUCCUGCGGAAUAGCUCCGGGAAACUGGAAUUAAUACCGCAUACGCCCUACGGGGGAAAGAUUUAUUGGGGAAGGAUUGGCCCGCGUUGGAUUAGCUAGUUGGUGGGGUAAAGGCCUACCAAGGCGACGAUCCAUAGCUGGUCUGAGAGGAUGAUCAGCCACAUUGGGACUGAGACACGGCCCAAUCUCCUACGGGAGGCAGCAGUGGGGAAUAUUGGACAAUGGGCGCAAGCCUGAUCCAGCCAUGCCGCGUGAGUGAUGAAGGCCUUAGGGUUGUAAAGCUCUUUCACCGAUGAAGAUAAUGACGGUAGUCGGAGAAGAAGCCCCGGCUAACUUCGUGCCAGCCGCCGCCGUAACAC